CUCUCAUUCCUCUCUGAACAACACAACAUGAGGAUAUUCCCACGAGAUUUUGCUCCAUUAGCCAUUGGAAUAUUCAUUUCCUUCACAACUUUUGCCUCUGCAGCCACUCGUCUUCUCCCUGAUGAAGUGGAAGCAUUGAAGGAAGUUGGGAAUUAGACAUUGGGGAAGAAAGACUAGAAUGUUAGUGUGGUCGUUGCUGCAAGUAUCGACGGUGUCAUUGCUGCAAGUACAGAUGACCGAAUUCUCAACACCAUUUAGGUCAUCGGUGAACCAAGUACAGGGAUCAGCACCCACACUGAAAUUCCAGUCUUUCUUCUCCCAUGUCUUCCCAAGUGAUUGCUGCAAGUACAGAUGACCAAAUUCUCAACACCGUCUGCCACAUUACUCGCAUGUCUCUCUCUCUCUCUCUCACUGUUUUUAGGAUUGACAAAGAUCGCGAUGAUCCGUCGUAUAAUUCCUAUGCGAGCAAGAUGAGACUCAGGCUGUGUUUUAAAACACAUUCUUAAAAAAUAAAUAUUUAUUUCAUAUUUUUAAAAUAGAAAUAAUGUAAAUAAAAAUUAAUUUUUUGAUUUUUUAUUGCAAUGUUCAAAAGAUCUCAAUGAAAUCUAUCAAACAAGAUGCAUAUUGCUAGAAAAAUUAUUUGCGUAAAUACAUUAUUUUUAAGUUUGAAAUUACCUUCUUAAAAAAUAAAUACUUAAUUUAGGUUUUGGAAUGGGGCCUCAUUAAUCUAGUUGGUCUCGAUGUGUUUAACACCUAUGCAAAAAUUAUAGAAUAUCAAGAAUCCGUAAAGUCGCAUUAUAUUUGUUUGAACAAAAACAGACAAUUAGAAUUUUUCUAUUUCUCUUGUUACAAAUGACUUGUUUCAAUGAUUACGAAUGUCUAGUGAACUUGAUUUUUGCAUGGAUUUUAGAAACACGAAACUUACAGAAGAAUUGUUUUGAUCGGCAAAUAACAUGUGAUCACUUUUCUAUUUUGCGUCACUUAAGGAAUCAUGUGGGAGGGAUCAUUUUGAUUCAGUAUGCUUCUCAAUUCUUGAGCUUUGGUGGACCUAAACAAUGACCAUGGUUCAUUUUGUUGGGAAGAUCGCCAUGCCAAAAGUCAUUUGGAGGGGAUAUCUUUUGCUGGCGUUUUUGCAAGAAAAAAAUAGGUUGCAAAUUUGGUUUGAAACUCCGACCACACAUUUGUUCCAGCAAAACACGAUUAUUCAUGUAGCAAACGAGUUAUUUUGGGUAUGCGUCAUCUUCUCAUAUCAAAGUUUUAUAAAUAUGAACAAUUCCAGUAAUUUUUUACA